rnacentral:rRNA from 1 species
CGGUUCGGCCGCCUCCGCCGCGACCGGCGCACGGGUGAGUAACACGUAUGCAACCUGGCCGCGGACGGGACACCGGGAAACCCGGACUAAUACCCGGCGGGGCCUGGAGGGGGCAUCCACCGUCCCGGUUGAAGGAGGCGACUCCGCCGCGGGAUGGGCAUGCGGCGCAUUAGCUUGUUGGCGGGGCAACGGCCCACCAAGGCGACGAUGCGUAGGGGUUCUGAGAGGAAGGUCCCCCACACUGGAACCGAGACACGGUCCAGACUCCUACGGGAGGCAGCAG